AGUCGUAACAAAGUAGCCAUACUUAGUGGCAGACGGGUGAGUAACAUGUAGGUAUCUGCCCUUUGGCCUGGAAUAACACGAGGAAACUUGUGCUAAUACCGGAUAAGUCUUUACGGAGAAAGCUUUAUGCACCAUUGGAUGAGCCUGCACUUGAUUAGUUUGUUGGUGGGGUAAUGGCCUACCAAGACUGUGAUCAAUAGCUGAUUUGAGAGGAUGAUCAGCCACAUUGGGACUGAGACACGGCCCAAACUCCUACGGGAGGCAGCAGUGGGGAAUCUUGCACAAUGGAGGAAACUCUGAUGCACCGAUGCCGCGUGAGUGAAGAAGGCCCUUGGGUUGUAAAGCUCUUUCGUCGGGGAAGAAAAUGACUGUACCCGAAUAAGAAGGUCCGGCUAAUUCGUGCCAGCAGCCGCGGUAAUACGAAGGGACCUAGCGUAGUUCGGAAUUACUGGGCUUAAAGAGUUCGUAGGUGGUUGAAAAAGUUAGUGGUGAAAUCCCAGAGCUUAACUCUGGAACUGCCAUUAAAACUUUUCAGCUAGAGUAUGAUAGAGGAAAGCAGAAUUUCUAGUGUAGAGGUGAAAUUCGUAGAUAUUAGAAAGAAUACCAAUUGGAAG
rnacentral:rRNA from 1 species